GCCAUUCACAGUAGUAUUACUUCCGAGCUCGACGCCGGCGAUGGCCACCACGCCGGUGGUGAAGAUCGCCGCCUCUCCAUCGAUCCUCACCUUGAGGUUUCCCCGGAAACCUCUUCUCAUCCCUUCCGACACCGGCGUCUUCAGAAGACCUUCAUCGUUGCGGCUACGUCGCAUCCGAUCCACCGCCGUCGCUUCUUGGCUUCAGGAUUCCGGCGCCACCGUCGCCGUUUUGUCCGGAGCUUACUCCCUCGUCCUCUCCUUUGAUUUCCUCACCAAGAUGAAUCUCAUCGAACAGAACUUGAGCAGAAAGCUUGUUCAUGUUUUGUCAGGGGUUCUCUUUAUGUCUUCCUGGCCAAUUUUCAGCUCCACAACAGAGGCACGCUAUUUCGCUGCUAUAGUUCCUUUCAUCAAUUGCUUAAGACUAGUCAGCUAUGGUCUAGGCCUUUUUACUAAUGAAGAUCUAAUAAAAUCAGUUACACGAGAAGGAAAACCCGAAGAAUUGCUUCAAGGACCUUUGUGCUACGUUCUGGUUCUGCUAGUCUGUACAUUGUUCUUUUGGCAUCAAUCUCCAAUUGGCAUUGUGUCCAUUGCAAUGAUGAGUGGUGGCGAUGGAUUUGCUGAUAUUGUUGGAAGAAGGUUUGGAACACUAAAACUUCCAUACAACAAACGAAAAAGCUGGAUCGGUAGCAUUUCCAUGUUUACAUUUGGGUUUCUUUUCUCCAUCGGAAUGCUCUACUACUUCUCAAUCUUCGGGUAUCUCCAUUUGGAAUGGAUGCCAGUGAUAAAAAAAGUAGCUAUUAUUUCGUUUGCCGCUACCAUGGUGGAGUCUCUUCCAAUUGAUGAGGCCACCCUAAAUAAUCCGACGAACCUAAGCUGAUGUGGCAACCAAACUUACACAGUCAACAUGCAAAACUUGUGCUUCAUGCCAAGCUGGACAAAUCACAUUAAAGGUGUCAUUCAAGUCAGCCAAUGGAGACAACUCAGCAUUCCUCGUCAGCCGGAGGUAGUGUGUUCUGGAAAAAGCCACGGACACAUUAUCAGGGUCCCUCAUCUCGAGAAAGGCAGAGGGAGACAAGAGACAAGCUUCUUUCUUCUCCACCUGGUCUGAAAGGAAGCCAAAAGAGGGCUUUUUUCUUCUCCACCUGGUUUGAAAGGAAGCCAAAAGAGGGUUUUGAGGGUUUUAGUGGUGACGACCAAACAUCUCCGCCAGGGUAACGGAAGUGAAGGUCAUUGCAGCCGGAAAAAAUAGAGGAAGCUGAUAUUGGUGUAGAUGGCCGUAAACUGGGAGAUACGGCAUGAGUGGAAUGAAGCCCCCAAGUACAAUGAUGAUGCUGAGUUAUUUUCCAUAAGAAUGCAUUACAAAGUUGGUGAAAUGGAAGGAAUAGCAGGGUAUAUUGAUUAUUGUUGUUCUGACCAAAUAUCGAAGAUAGAACUCCUAGCAAUGGCAAGAGAGUUGAAUUUGGAGGUUGAUGGUUGUUCUAUAUGGUGGCUGGACACAACAAGCAUUGAUAGAGGGUACAAAGAAGUUAAAACUGACCUAGAUGCUCUAAAAAUGGCAAAUUCAGUAGGGUGCAGCAGAGAGAUGUGUGUUUGUGUGAGACUGCCUUGCAGUGGAACACCAUUGGCCCAUGACUUAGGCAGCAUUCCUGUGAGUAAUGAAGGUGUGGGGCUUGUUGAAUGUAGUAUGGUUGCUUGUAUAAAUUAUGUGGGUGAGGAGGAAGAAGAUGUUACACAUGAUGAUGAGAACUUGGAGGACAUUUUAAUUAGGGGACAUGGCAGAAGUAGUGAUAGAGAUGAAACAUGUAACUUUGAGGACUCAGAUUAUAAUUUCAGUGAUGAUGGUGUGGAGGAAGAGAUUUUUAAUGAUUGUGGUUCAAGACCAAAUGCUGAUAUUGGUGGUGAAGCUACAGAAGUAGAUGAUGGUGACCUUGUAGGAUCUGACUAUGCUAAUUCAGAUGGUUUUCAGUCCUACUCUUCAACAGAUGAAGAGGAUGCGACCCCUCUUAAACCUAAGUAUUCUGAGUUCAAUGAGGAGGUUGACAUGAGGAAUCCACAGUUUAGAAUUGGAAUGAAAUAGGAUAGUAUUCCCUCCCAAGAGGAGGAAGGUAUGGUUACCAACAGGAGUUGGAUCCUCUGCAGGCCUAGGUGCAUGUGCAGGUGAUACUUACAGGAAGGCACCUUGAUGGGAUCAACUAGCAUUUAUUUGUUUAUGUAUUUUGGAAAACUGCAGCACCUCGGAAAUUUUUGUAAAGUUGCAGCUAUGACUAAAUUUUUGUAAAGAUGCAACUCUUCUAAAAUUUUUGUAAAACUGCAGCUCUUCUAAAAUUUUUGUAAAGCUGCAUCUAUUCUCAA